CCACAAAUAAUGACGCAGGCUC
rnacentral:siRNA from 1 species